CCCUUAGAUGUUCUGGGCCGCACGCGCGCUACACUGAUGCAUUCAACGAGUCUAAAACCUGGUCUGAUAGGGCUGGGUAAUCUUUUGAAAGUGCAUCGUGAUUGGGAUAGAUGAUUGCAAUUCUUCAUCUUCAACGAGGAAUGCCUAGUAAACGCAAGUCAUCAGCUUGCAUUGAUUACGUCCCUGCCCUUUGUACACACCGCCCGUCGCUCCUACCGAUUGAAUGAUCCGAUGAAUACCAUGGAUUGAGAGUACGAAUGGGUUCGCUCAUUUCUACUGCUCGAGAAGUGGAGUAAAUCUUAUCAUUUAGAGGAAGGAGAAGUCGUAACA
rnacentral:rRNA from 1 species